AGCGAACGCUGGCGGCAGGCUUAACACAUGCAAGUCGAGCGGGCGUAGCAAUACGUCAGCGGCAGACGGGUGAGUAACGCGUGGGAACGUACCUUUUGGUUCGGAACAACCCAGGGAAACUUGAGCUAAUACCGGAUGUGCCCUUCGGGGGAAAGAUUUAUCGCCAUUGGAGCGGCCCGCGUCUGAUUAGCUAGUUGGUGAGGUAAAGGCUCACCAAGGCGACGAUCAGUAGCUGGUCUGAGAGGAUGAUCAGCCACAUUGGGACUGAGACACGGCCCAAACUCCUACGGGAGGCAGCAGUGGGGAAUCUUGCGCAAUGGGCGAAAGCCUGACGCAGCCAUGCCGCGUGAAUGAUGAAGGUCUUAGGAUUGUAAAAUUCUUUCACCGGGGACGAUAAUGACGGUACCCGGGAGAAGAAGCCCCGGCUAACUUCGUGCCAGCAGCCGCGGUAAU
rnacentral:rRNA from 1 species